rnacentral:rRNA from 1 species
AUUGAACGCUGGCGGCAGGCCUAACACAUGCAAGUCGAGCGGUAGAGAGGUGCUUGCAUCUCUUGAGAGCGGCGGACGGGUGAGUAAUGCCUAGGAAUCUGCCUAGUGGUGGGGGAUAACGUUCGGAAACGGACGCUAAUACCGCAUACGUCCUACGGGAGAAAGCGGGGGAUCUUCGGACCUCGCGCCAUUAGAUGAGCCUAGGUCGGAUUAGCUAGUUGGUGAGGUAAUGGCUCACCAAGGCGACGAUCCGUAACUGGUCUGAGAGGAUGAUCAGUCACACUGGAACUGAGACACGGUCCAGACUCCUACGGGAGGCAGCAGUGGGGAAUAUUGGACAAUGGGCGAAAGCCUGAUCCAGCCAUGCCGCGUGUGUGAAGAAGGUCUUCGGAUUGUAAAGCACUUAAGUUGGGAGGAAGGGUAGUAACCUAAUACGUUGCUACUUUGACGUUACCGACAGAAUAAGCACCGGCUAAC